rnacentral:rRNA from 1 species
UACGUAGGGUGCAAGCGUUGUCCGGAAUUAUUGGGCGUAAAGAGCUCGUAGGCGGUCUGUCGCGUCGGCUGUGAAAACCCGGGGCUCAACCCCGGGCCUGCAGUCGAUACGGGCAGACUAGAGUGCGGUAGGGGAGACUGGAAUUCCUGGUGUAGCGGUGAAAUGCGCAGAUAUCAGGAGGAACACCGGUGGCGAAGGCGGGUCUCUGGGCCGUAACUGACGCUGAGGAGCGAAAGCGUGGGGAGCGAACAGGAUUAGAUACCCCAGUAGUCC